GAACGCCUCUAAGCCAGAAUCCAUGCUGAAAAGCGACGAUACCGCGGAAAGGGACAUACGCGAGUAGCGAUAGGCUUCGGCCCUGGAUCAUGCAAAGCGCUCAGCGCGGAUCAUAACUCGAAACCCCUGACCACUAGAUCCAUUGUAGACGACUUUCUCGAGACCGGGGAUUGUAAGUGUGAGAGUAAGCUUGUCUUACGAUCCGCUGAGAUUCAGCCCGCGUUU
rnacentral:rRNA from 1 species